UUAAUCACGGUCUAAAUUAAUAAAUUAAAAAAUAGUACUAUUAUUUUUAUUAUUAUAUAUAUAUAUAUAUAUACAAAAAAAAAUUAGAAAAAUCUAAGAGUAAAGGCAACUUGCUUUCCUCACACACCCGGCAGCGACACCAUCUCUUUUUGUUUUCUUCGUGCACGCGGUGGCAACACUUACUUUCUUCAUGCACACAGGCCGCGACACCACCUCUUAUUGCUUUCUUCAUGCACCGGACAAACACACGACACUUUUCCUCUUCAUCCUCUUGGUCUUCCUUUUUUCUUUUUUGAUGAAUAUGUUGAAAAAUAGAGAUAGCUAAGAGGGAUAAAUUAUAUAUAUAUAUAUAUACAUAUCAACGUAUAUACGCAUUGAAUGUAAAUAUUGUACUUUUUUAUUAGUAUUUAUUAAGUUUUUAAUAAAAUUAUAGAUAAGUGGAAGUAGGGAAAAAAAGAACAUUAACAAUAUGUAUGUAUGUACGUAUUUACAUAUAUUUUUUUUCAAGUAUUCUACAUGAUUAAUGGAAGGGAACAUUCCUCUCCCUUAAUAUCCAUUUCCACCAUAUCCAUAUCCUUAUCCUAAGGUAAGAAACUCCAUCUCUCUAACAACAUGCUCAAUGCACCAUUCUGCAACUUUUUUGUUUCCAAUCAGUGCUUCCAUAACCAGUUUGGACCACAUAGAUCAUUAAUCCUUGAGGUUUUCCCCUACAAUAGAACUGCUUCUACUUUAGUUAUCAAUGGAUUGAUAGCACUGG
rnacentral:lncRNA from 1 species